AUUGAACGCUGGCGGCAGGCCUAACACAUGCAAGUCGAGCGGAGUGGCGAACGGGUGAGUAACACGUGGGUGACCUGCCCUGCACUUCGGGAUAAGCCUGGGAAACUGGGUCUAAUACCGGAUAGUGUGGGAUGGGCCCGCGGCCUAUCAGCUUGUUGGUGGGGUAAUGGCCUACCAAGGCGGCGACGGGUAGCCGGCCUGAGAGGGUGGACGGCCACAGUGGGACUGAGACACGGCCCAGACUCCUACGGGAGGCAGCAGUGGGGAAUAUUGCACAAUGGGCGGAAGCCUGAUGCAGCGACGCCGCGUGGGGGAUGACGGCCUUCGGGUUGUAAACUCCUUUCACCAUCGACGCGGUAUCUAACCAGAAAGCCACGGCUAACUACGUGCCAGCAGCCGCGGUAAUUC
rnacentral:rRNA from 1 species